UGCAAGUGGCUAGUAGAUUUGCUUUACUCACCAGCCAAAAAAACAUGGUAAUCUAUUGAGUAACUGGUCAAAUUUGAACAUUCACUAGCCAUUUGGCUGGUGGACAAAAGCUAAGGAAAAAAUA